UGGAGAGUUUGAUCCUGGCUCAGGACGAACGCUGGCGGCGUGCCUAAUACAUGCAAGUAGAACGCUGAAGAGAGGAGCUUGCUCUUCUUGGAUGAGUUGCGAACGGGUGAGUAACGCGUAGGUAACCUGCCUUGUAGCGGGGGAUAACUAUUGGAAACGAUAGCUAAUACCGCAUAACAAUGGAUGACACAUGUCAUUUAUUUGAAAGGGGCAAUUGCUCCACUACAAGAUGGACCUGCGUUGUAUUAGCUAGUAGGUGAGGUAACGGCUCACCUAGGCGACGAUACAUAGCCGACCUGAGAGGGUGAUCGGCCACACUGGGACUGAGACACGGCCCAGACUCCUACGGGAGGCAGCAGUAGGGAAUCUUCGGCAAUGGGGGCAACCCUGACCGAGCAACGCCGCGUGAGUGAAGAAGGUUUUCGGAUCGUAAAGCUCUGUUGUAAGUCAAGAACGAGUGUGAGAGUGGAAAGUUCACACUGUGACGGUAGCUUACCAGAAAGGGACGGCUAACUACGUGCCAGCAGCCGCGGUA
rnacentral:rRNA from 1 species